GUGGGGAAUAUUGGGCAAUGGGCGCAAGCCUGACCCAGCAACGCCGCGUGAGGGAAGAAGGUUUUCGGAUUGUAAACCUCUGUCCUGGGGGACGAAAAAAAUGACGGUACCCCGGGAGGAAGCCCCGGCUAACUACGUGCCAGCAGCCGCGGUAAUACGUAGGGGGCGAGCGUUGUCCGGAAUUACUGGGCGUAAAGGGUGCGUAGGCGGCAUGUUAAGUUGGAUGUGAAAUACCCGGGGUCAGACUGGGGGGUGCAUCCAAAACUGGCAAGCUAGAGUGCAGGAGAGGAAAGCGGAAUUCCUAGUGUAGCGGUGAAAUGCGUAGAUAUUAGGAGGAACACCAGUGGCGAAGGCGGCUUUCUGGACUGCAACUGACGCUGAUGCACGAAAGCGUGGGGAGCAAACAGGAUUAGAAACCCGGGUAGUCC
rnacentral:rRNA from 1 species